GAUGAACGCUGGCGGCGUGCCUAAUACAUGCAAGUCGAGCGAACAGACGAGGAGCUUGCUCCUCUGACGUUAGCGGCGGACGGGUGAGUAACACGUGGAUAACCUACCUAUAAGACUGGGAUAACUUCGGGAAACCGGAGCUAAUACCGGAUAAUAUAUUGAACCGCAUGGUGCAAUAGUGAAAGACGGUUUUGCUGUCACUUAUAGAUGGAUCCGCGCCGCAUUAGCUAGUUGGUAAGGUAACGGCUUACCAAGGCGACGAUGCGUAGCCGACCUGAGAGGGUGAUCGGCCACACUGGAUCUGAGACACGGUCCAGACUCCUACGGGAGGCAGCAGUAGGGAAUCUUCCGCAAUGGGCGAAAGCCUGACGGAGCAACGCCGCGUGAGUGAUGAAGGUCUUCGGAUCGUAAAGCUCUGUUAUUAGUGAAGAACAAAUGUGUAAGUAACUAUGCACGUCUUGACGGUACCUAAUCAGAAAGCCCCGGCUAACUACGUG
rnacentral:rRNA from 1 species